GACGAACGCUGGCGGCGUGCUUAACACAUGCAAGUCGAACGGAAAGGCCCUGCUUUUGUGGGGUGCUCGAGUGGCGAACGGGUGAGUAACACGUGAGUAACCUGCCCUUGACUUUGGGAUAACUUCAGGAAACUGGGGCUAAUACCGGAUAGGAGCUCCUGCUGCAUGGUGGGGGUUGGAAAGUUUCGGCGGUUGGGGAUGGACUCGCGGCUUAUCAGCUUGUUGGUGGGGUAGUGGCUUACCAAGGCUUUGACGGGUAGCCGGCCUGAGAGGGUGACCGGCCACAUUGGGACUGAGAUGCGGCCCAGACUCCUACGGGAGGCAGCAGCGGGGAAUAUUGCACAAUGGGCGGAAGCCUGAUGCAGCAACGCCGCGUGCGGGAUGACGGCCUUCGGGUUGUAAACCGCUUUCGCCUGUGACGAAGCGUGAGUGACGGUAAUGGGUAAAGAAGCACCGGCUAACUACGUG
rnacentral:rRNA from 1 species